rnacentral:rRNA from 1 species
GAGUUUGAUCCUGGCUCAGGACGAACGCUGGCGGCGUGCUUAACACAUGCAAGUCGAACGAUGAAGCCCUUCGGGGUGGAUUAGUGGCGAACGGGUGAGUAACACGUGGGCAAUCUGCCCUUCACUCUGGGACAAGCCCUGGAAACGGGGUCUAAUACCGGAUAAUACUUUCCUCCUCCUGGAGGAAGGUUGAAAGCUCCGGCGGUGAAGGAUGAGCCCGCGGCCUAUCAGCUAGUUGGUGGGGUAAUGGCCUACCAAGGCGACGACGGGUAGCCGGCCUGAGAGGGCGACCGGCCACACUGGGACUGAGACACGGCCCAGACUCCUACGGGAGGCAGCAGUGGGGAAUAUUGCACAAUGGGCGAAAGCCUGAUGCAGCGACGCCGCGUGAGGGAUGACGGCCUUCGGGUUGUAAACCUCUUCAGCAGGGAAGAAGCGAAAGUGACGU